rnacentral:rRNA from 1 species
GACGAACGCUGGCGGCGUGCUUAACACAUGCAAGUCGAACGGAAAGGCCCUGCUUUUGUGGGGUGCUCGAUUGGCGAACGGGUGAGUAACACGUGAGUAACCUGCCCUUGACUUUGGGAUAACUUCAGGAAACUGGGGCUAAUACCGGAUAGCAUCUCCUGCUGCAUGGUGGGGGUUGGAAAUUUUCGGCGGUUGGGGAUGGACUCGCGGCUUAUCAGCUUGUUGGUGGGGUAGUGGCUUACCAAGGCUUUGACGGGUAGCCGGCCUGGGAGGGUGACCGGGCACAGAGGGACUGGGAUACGGCCCAGACUGAUACGGGAGGCAGCAGUGGGGAAUAGAGCACAAUGGGCGGAAGCCGGAUGCAGCAACGCCGCGUGCGGGAUGACGGCUUUCGGGUUGGAAACCGCUUUCGCCUGUGACGAAGCGUGAGUGACGGUAAUGGGUAAAGAAGCACGGGUUAACUACGG